rnacentral:misc_RNA from 1 species
UAAAACUAAAAUAUUAUCUCAGAUGCAACAAGUGGCAUUCAUUGCAAGCAGAAAUUUGUUAAAAGGCAUUUGAAAUGUAACCAAGCUUCCUAUUUGCCUAUAAAUCCAGGACUGACACAAAUUCUCAUGCUCAAAAUGCAAAGAUAAAAAAGUGACUUCAUCCGGUUUCAAACCAACCUACACUAGCUUAUACGUGCUCCCAACUUAAAAUCCUUGUGAACAUUUAGUAAAAAAGAUAUAUUGCUAAAGAUAGCAACUUCAACUGCAAUUUGGCAACUGAUGAUGUAAGAAAAUACGCAACUUGUAAGGUUAAAGAUAAUAGAGACAGAGACAAACCAACAGUAUCAAGGGCUCGAAGAA